GGAUCCGACUUUGAUCCUGGCUCAGGACGAACGCUGGCGGCGCGCCUAACACAUGCAAGUCGAACGAGAGAGAGGGAGCUUGCUUCCUUGAUCGAGUGGCGAACGGGUGAGUAACGCGUGAGGAACCUGCCUCAAAGAGGGGGACAACAGUUGGAAACGACUGCUAAUACCGCAUAAGCCCACGACCCGGCAUCGGGAAGAGGGAAAGGGAGCAAUCCGCUAUGAGAUGGCCUCGCGUCCGAUUAGCUAGUUGGUGAGGUAACGGCCCACCAAGGCGACGAUCGGUAGCCGGACUGAGAGGUUGAACGGCCACAUUGGGACUGAGACACGGCCCAGACUCCUACGGGAGGCAGCAGUGGGGAAUAUUGCACAAUGGGGGAAACCCUGAUGCAGCGACGCCGCGUGGAGGAAGAAGGUCUUCGGAUUGUAAACUCCUGUUGUUGAGGAAGAUAAUGACGGUACUCAACAAGGAAGUGACGGCUAACUACGUGCCAGCAGCCGCGGUAAAACGUAGGACACAAGCGUUGUCCGGAAUUACUGGGUGUAAAGGGAGCGCAGGCGGGCGAUCAAGUUGGAAGUGAAAUCCAUGGGCUCAAC
rnacentral:rRNA from 1 species